GUUAAGCGACUAAGCGUACACGGUGGAUGCCCUGGCAGUCAGAGGCGAUGAAGGACGUGCUAAUCUGCGAUAAGCGUCGGUAAGGUGAUAUGAACCGUUAUAACCGGCGAUUUCCGAAUGGGGAAACCCAGUGUGAUUCGUCACACUAUCAUUAACUGAAUCCAUAGGUUAAUGAGGCGAACCGGGGGAACUGAAACAUCUAAGUACCCCGAGGAAAAGAAAUCAACCGAGAUUCCCCCAGUAGCGGCGAGCGAACGGGGAGCAGCCCAGAGCCUGAAUCAGUGUGUGUGUUAGUGGAAGCGUCUGGAAAGGCGCGCGAUACAGGGUGACAGCCCCGUACACAAAAAUGCACAUACUGUGAGCUCGAUGAGUAGGGCGGGACACGUGGUAUCCUGUCUGAAUAUGGGGGGACCAUCCUCCAAGGCUAAAUACUCCUGACUGACCGAUAGUGAACCAGUACCGUGAGGGAAAGGCGAAAAGAACCCCGGCGAGGGGAGUGAAAAAGAACCUGAAACCGUGUACGUACAAGCAGUGGGAGCACGCUUAGGCGUGUGACUGCGUACCUUUUGUAUAAUGGGUCAGCGACUUAUAUUCUGUAGCAAGGUUAACCGAAUAGGGGAGCCGAAGGGAAACCGAGUCUUAACUGGGCGUUAAGUUGCAGGGUAUAGACCCGAAACCCGGUGAUCUAGCCAUGGGCAGGUUGAAGGUUGGGUAACACUAACUGGAGGACCGAACCGACUAAUGUUGAAAAAUUAGCGGAUGACUUGUGGCUGGGGGUGAAAGGCCAAUCAAACCGGGAGAUAGCUGGUUCUCCCCGAAAGCUAUUUAGGUAGCGCCUCGUGAAUUCAUCUCCGGGGGUAGAGCACUGUUUCGGCAAGGGGGUCAUCCCGACUUACCAACCCGAUGCAAACUGCGAAUACCGGAGAAUGUUAUCACGGGAGACACACGGCGGGUGCUAACGUCCGUCGUGAAGAGGGAAACAACCCAGACCGCCAGCUAAGGUCCCAAAGUCAUGGUUAAGUGGGAAACGAUGUGGGAAGGCCCAGACAGCCAGGAUGUUGGCUUAGAAGCAGCCAUCAUUUAAAGAAAGCGUAAUAGCUCACUGGUCGAGUCGGCCUGCGCGGAAGAUGUAACGGGGCUAAACCAUGCACCGAAGCUGCGGCAGCGACGCUGAUGCGUUGUUGGGUAGGGGAGCGUUCUGUAAGCCUGUGAAGGUGUGCUGUGAGGCAUGCUGGAGGUAUCAGAAGUGCGAAUGCUGACAUAAGUAACGAUAAAGCGGGUGAAAAGCCCGCUCGCCGGAAGACCAAGGGUUCCUGUCCAACGUUAAUCGGGGCAGGGUGAGUCGACCCCUAAGGCGAGGCCGAAAGGCGUAGUCGAUGGGAAACAGGUUAAUAUUCCUGUACUUGGUGUUACUGCGAAGGGGGGACGGAGAAGGCUAUGUUGGCCGGGCGACGGUUGUCCCGGUUUAAGCGUGUAGGCUGGUUUUCCAGGCAAAUCCGGAAAAUCAAGGCUGAGGCGUGAUGACGAGGCACUACGGUGCUGAAGCAACAAAUGCCCUGCUUCCAGGAAAAGCCUCUAAGCAUCAGGUAACAUCAAAUCGUACCCCAAACCGACACAGGUGGUCAGGUAGAGAAUACCAAGGCGCUUGAGAGAACUCGGGUGAAGGAACUAGGCAAAAUGGUGCCGUAACUUCGGGAGAAGGCACGCUGAUAUGUAGGUGAAGCGACUUGCUCGUGGAGCUGAAAUCAGUCGAAGAUACCAGCUGGCUGCAACUGUUUAUUAAAAACACAGCACUGUGCAAACACGAAAGUGGACGUAUACGGUGUGACGCCUGCCCGGUGCCGGAAGGUUAAUUGAUGGGGUCAGCGCAAGCGAAGCUCUUGAUCGAAGCCCCGGUAAACGGCGGCCGUAACUAUAACGGUCCUAAGGUAGCGAAAUUCCUUGUCGGGUAAGUUCCGACCUGCACGAAUGGCGUAAUGAUGGCCAGGCUGUCUCCACCCGAGACUCAGUGAAAUUGAACUCGCUGUGAAGAUGCAGUGUACCCGCGGCAAGACGGAAAGACCCCGUGAACCUUUACUAUAGCUUGACACUGAACAUUGAGCCUUGAUGUGUAGGAUAGGUGGGAGGCUUUGAAGUGUGGACGCCAGUCUGCAUGGAGCCGGCCUUGAAAUACCACCCUUUAAUGUUUGAUGUUCUAACGUUGACCCGUGAUCCGGGUUGCGGACAGUGUCUGGUGGGU
rnacentral:rRNA from 1 species